AACCAUUCCACAUAUUUUUACCUUUCUUCCAAAUUUUGAGAUAGCAAAAGGAGUAGCGAAAGCUGUGAGUUCCAUCCCUUCCUGCAAUUGCAAAAAUCAUUCCCCCUUCCAAAAAGGUGAUUCCUUGCAAGCGAGAGGUGAUAUCAAGGGAAGGGAAAUAAUUUCGAAUUAAGGACUUAAGCGAACGAGGUUGAGCGUGACGGGUGCGGUGGGUGUUGAGCAAGACCGUUG